rnacentral:rRNA from 1 species
UCUGAUCUCAGAUCAAGCAAGAAGACCCGCCGAAUUUAAGCAUAUAAUUAAGCGGAGGAAAAGAAACUAACCAGGAUUCCCCUAGUAAGGGCGACUGAAGCGGGAAUAGCUCACGAUGUGAAUCAGCGCUGCUCUGUGGCGCCGAAUUGUGGUCUGAAAACGUUUGCAUUACUGGCGGGGCCAAGUCCCUUGGAACAGGGCAGCCGAGAGGGUGAGACUCCCGUGUGCCCUGCCUUUGGAGC